rnacentral:rRNA from 1 species
UACAGAGGGGGCAAGCGUUGUUCGGAAUUACUGGGCGUAAAGGGCGCGUAGGCGGCCUGUUAAGUCGAACGUGAAAUCCCUGGGCUCAACCCAGGAACUGCGUCCGAUACUGGCAGGCUUGAAUUCGGGAGAGGGAUGCGGAAUUCCAGGUGUAGCGGUGAAAUGCGUAGAUAUCUGGAGGAACACCGGUGGCGAAGGCGGCAUCCUGGACCAACACUGACACUGAGGAGCGAAAGCCAGGGGAGCAAACGGG